rnacentral:snRNA from 1 species
GUGUUCACAUGGCAGCACAUAUUCCAAAAUUGGAAUGAUAGAAAAUUAGCUUGGCUGUCACACAAGGAUGACAGGUGGGCUGGAGAGAUGGCUCAGGGGCUG